rnacentral:piRNA from 1 species
UGAAAUGUGAUAUUGUUUACAUUGUGGAAU